UAAGCAUAUCAAUAAGCGGAGGAAAAGAAACUAACAAGGAUUCCCCUAGUAACUGCGAGUGAAGCGGGAAAAGCUCAAAUUUGAAAUCUGGCGGUCCUUGACUGUCCGAGUUGUAAUCUAGAGAAGUGUUACCUGUGCUGGACCGUGUACAAGUCUCCUGGAAUGGAGCAUCAUAGAGGGUGAGAAUCCCGUCUUUGACAUGGACUGCCUGCGCAUCAUGGUAUGCUCUCAAAGAGUCGAGUUGUUUGGGAAUGCAGCUCAAAAUGGGUGGUAAAUGCCAUCUAAAGCUAAAUAUUGGCGAGAGACCGAUAGCGAACAAGUACCGUGAGGGAAAGAUGAAAAGAACUUUGGAAAGAGAGUUAAACAGUACGUGAAAUUGCUGAAAGGGAAACGCUUGAAGUCAGUCAUGUCAGCUAGAAAUCAGCCUGCUUUUGCUUGGUGUAUUUUCUGGCUGAUGGGUCAGCAUCAAUUUUGACCAUUGGAUAAAGUCUUUGGGAAUGUGGCAUCUUUUGGAUGUGUUAUAGCCCAUUGUCGCAUACGAUGGUUGGGAUUGAGGAAUUCAGCACGCCUGCAAGGGCCGGGUUUCGACCACGUUCGUGCUUAGGAUGCUGGCAUAAUGGCUUUAAUCGACCCGUCUUGAAACACGGACCAAGGAGUCUAACAUGCCUGCGAGUGUUUGGGUGGAAAACCCAUGCGCGUAAUGAAAGUGAAAGUUGAGAUCCCUUUGAAAGAGGGGAGCAUUGACGCCCGGACCAGACCUUCUGUGACGGAUCCGCGGUAGAGCAUGUAUGUUGGGACCCGAAAGAUGGUGAACUAUGCCUGAAUAGGGUGAAGCCAGAGGAAACUCUGGUGGAGGCUCGUAGCGAUUCUGACGUGCAAAUCGAUCGUCAAAUUUGGGUAUAGGGGCGAAAGACUAAUCGAACCAUCUAGUAGCUGGUUCCUGCCGAA
rnacentral:rRNA from 1 species